rnacentral:lncRNA from 1 species
UUAUUUCAAAAUUGACAGCAAUCAUGACAAUAUCUGGCUUAUUAAAUAUUCAGAAAAGGAAGGGAAGAAAGGACUUUUACCAAAGUAGGGCUAAAAGGAAACCUUCUUGAUCUCAUAAAGGGAAUAUAUUAAAAAUCCUAUAGCAUCACACUCAACAGUGAAAUGUUAAAGAUAUUCCUUGAAAAAACAAAACAAUGGGAAUGAUUUCACUUUUGUUUUACCUCAGAAACUUGGAAAGGAAAAUAAUAUUUUACUUAAUGACUCAGACAUAUACAAAAGGAAGUGAUAUUGGUUUCCUGAGAUGUAUAGGAAGUGGACAGGAUUGGACCAACACAUCAGGUCUACCACAAUAGGGGUGUUCUUUUUUUCAAACUGUGUGGUAGGAACAUGCGUGGUCAAUAUUCCUAUGUAUCUACUCAGUAUUAAAAGAUGUUUUAAAAAUUUUUACCCAGGGACACCUAGGUGGCUCAGCAGUUGAGUGUCUGCCUUUGGCUCAGGGAGUGAUCCUGGGAUCUUGGGAUUGAGUCUCGCAUCAGGCUCCCUACUGGGGAGCCUGCUUUUCCCUCUGCCUGUGUCUCUGCCUCUCUCUCUGUGUGCCUCAUGAAUAAAUAAAUAAAAUCUUUAAAAAAAUUACCCAUAAUAUUGAGUGAAAAAGCUAGUCAGACAAAUACAUUCAGUGUUUUAUUAAUGUAAAAUUCAAAAUCAGGCAAAAUUAAAUGAUCAUUUUUAUGCCUAACUUCUAUGUGGUAAAACUAAGCUAAAGCAAAAGGAUGAUUAACAUAAAAUUUAGGACUGCAGUUCUCUUUGGGGGAAGUGAUAAUAGCACUUACAUUGGCUUAUAUAGGACCCCAAAAAUAUUGGCAGUGUUCUUUUCUUCAGCUGGAUUUGGUAUUAAUUUUAUUAUUUAUCUAAACCAUGCAUAAAAAUUAUAUAAUCUCACUGAUACAUACAAUAUGGUUUUGAUGGGUAACUGAAAUUCAGGUGUCAUCCUAGACAAAUUUCAUCACUUGUCAACAUUUUUCCCAGAACAUUGCAGGAUGGGUGGUGGAGUUUGUCCCUUGCUGAUUUACCUGUCCUCAUAUUUUUAGGAGAUGCCAGUUAACUAUGAGCAAUAAUUUUAACCGAAAGGGAGCCUUUCAAUUUAACACUCUACCACAGAUUGCAUUGCUACAGUCCUUAAAACAUUGGAAAGUUUUUUUCUAGAGGAUUUUUGUGUACAGAGAGUACCCAUACACACUCCCUCUCCCCAGAGCACACAGUUUCCCUGAUUAUUAAGAUCUUUCAUUAGUGUGGUACAUUUGUUACAACUGAUGAACUGAUACUGAUACAUACUAUUAACCAAAAUCUCUUGUUUACUUUGAGGUUUACUCUUUGUGUUGUAUAUUCUAUGGUUUUUGACAAAUGUAUAAUGUAUAACAUCCUCCAUGCUGUAUCCCACAGAAGAGGUCCACUGUUCUAUUCUUUUUUUACUUUCACUAUAGUUUUGCCUUUUCCAGAAUGUCAUGGAGUUGGGAUCAUGCUUUGUGUAGCCUCUUCAGACUGGCUUCUUUCACUUAGCAAUAUGCAUUGAAGGUUCGUGUUUUUUUAUGGUCUGACAGCUCAUUUCUUCUUAUUAUCAAAUAAUGGAAAGGCUUCUGUGACUAUCAUCAUCACAGCUACAUGCCAAGCAUUAUUCUAAAUGCUUUAUACAUAGAAAUUUAAUCCUUACAACUUUAUAAGGUAGGUAGUACUACUAUCCCCAUUUUACAGAAGGAACAGAACAGAGAGCUUAAAUAACUUGCCCAAUGUUAUUAAGCUUAGAAGUAGUAGAACAAGAUUUGAACUCAGGUAGUCUGGUUCUAGAGUCCAUGCCCUUAACCACUAUACUAUACUGCUUCAUAUAAAAAUGCCUAAAAUAGGGAUCCCUGGGUGGCGCAGCGGUUUGGCGCCUGCCUUUGGCCCAGGGCGCGGUCCUGGAGACCCGGGAUCGAAUCCCACGUCGGGCUCCCGGUGCAUGGAGCCUGCUUCUCCCUCUGCUCGUGUCUCUCUCUGCCUCUCUCUCUCUCUGUGUGACUAUCAUAAAUAAAUAAAAAUUAAAAAAAAAUGCCUAAAAUAAUUUCCAGUGCCUGAUCUUGUUUUAUCAAUUCACAGUCCUAUACUCCCCAGCUUUGCCUACUUGAAGAGUUGUCAAACUUUCAUUCAGUUAUCUAAAUAGCAGAAACUUUUUUACCUAGCACAUUAUUCCAUACGAGCAAUAAUUACCAUAUACUGCUGAAUAGAGGUAGUUCUUUUUGAGUCCUUGCUCUAUGCUAACCUCUGCAAAGUAGUUUUCAUAUACAUUAUUUUAUUUCAUCCUUAGGACAUCCCUUUGAGGAGGUACGAUUAUUAUCUCUAAGGAAACUAAGCUUUAAGGAAGUUAAAUAACUAACUGAAGGUCACAGAGCUAAGAAGUGGUAGAUGUGAGCCUCAAACCUCACUGGAGUUACGCCAAAGUCAGUGCUCUAAAAACUGUUGUCUUAACUGCCUCUAUUAUCAUCUUUUGGUUGACUGAGCUUUCCAAAUCAAUAUGAUAUUUCUACAACAAGCUGAAACAUUUGUGAAAGUAUCUCAGAAGUGGGUCACCAAAUUGUCUUUAUAAAAGUGGGAUGCUAAAAAAAUAAACAAAUAAAAGUGGGAUGCUUGUAAUGUUAGAACAAGCUUGAUGCUCUCUUGAACAAGCUUUUGUAUAUCCAAGAAUGAUCUGUGGGUAUAUGUUAUAGCAGCACCGCUGUAAUACAAUACUCUUGAAAAAUCACUGAAUUGUUUGGAGGAGUGGUUAAGUCACCCAACUGCACAUUCUCACAGAAGGAUACUCUGCAACAGUUUUAAAAAUGAGGUAGGCCUAUGUGUCUGUAUAUGGAAGAUCUUUAAGACAGAGGAUAGGGCAGCCUGGGUGGCUCAGC